GGCUCCUUCCACGUGCGAAAGCUUUCUCAGUUGCAGAAACUCCAGUCCCUUCAAAAUAGCUAGGGUUUCGAUCUGCACGGCUGAAGAGGCUCGUAUAUCGCUGACGAAGCCAUCCACCACUUGUCCGGCGUGAUUCCUCAGUAUUCCGACGACGGAUCCAACCGGUUCUCCUGGUACCCACGAGCCAUCGACGUUUAGUUUCAGGGUUCCUCUGUCCGGCGGUCUCCACCUUCUCGAUCUACGAUUGUGUUCGGAUCGGGCGGUUUUGCUCUGAAGAUGGUUCCGUUGCGGGCUUUCCAUAUAAACCAGAGGACCAUCGCCACUAGUUCCUUCUCGGAGGAGGAACAGGUGCUCGGUGGUUUCCGGGUGUGCGUUGCAGAGCGAGCAGAUUGGAUCAGGU